rnacentral:rRNA from 1 species
UUUAGCAGUGAGGAAUAUUGGUCAAUAGCCUAACGGCUGAACCAGCAACUUGGAGGAAUGUAUAGCGAAAGCUAAUUGUAUUAGCAGGCAAUGGUUAAUACAAUAUCGACUAUGUCGACUAAAGUUCUAGGUAGAGUAAUGAUAAUGACAUUUUUUACCUAUGUGUCUUGACCAAGUCACGUGCCAGCAGUCGCGGUAAUACGUGGAAGACGAGUGUUAUUCAUCUUUAAUAGGUUUAAAGGGUACCCAGACGGUAUAUUUAGCCCAGAUAAAAAAAAAGGUACUAAAUAAACUAGAGUUUAAUGUGAGAGGGUUUAUAGUACUAAUGGUGUAGAGAUGAAAUUCUAUGAUACCAUAAGGCAACUGGCAACGGCGAAAGCAACCCUUUAUGCAAAAACUGACGUUGAAGGACGAAGGCUAGUGUAACCAAAAGGAUUAGAUACCCCAGCAGUACUAGCAGACAACGCUGAAUGCCAUAGAUUAGAUUAUAUUUCUUCUAUAAAUGAAAGUGUAAGCAUUCCACCUCAAGAGUAAUUUGGCAACAUAGGAAUUGAAAUCAUUAGACCGUGUCUGAAACCAGUAGUGCAGUAUGUUGUAUAACUAGCUAACCCUCGAAAAACCUUACCACAAUUUGAAUAUUUUUAUACAUUUUUAUAAUUAUACAAGCGUUGCACGGUUGUCUACAGUUAAUGUCGUGAGAUUCUGGUUAGUUCCAUUAAAUUAACGUAAACCCUUACUUUAUUUUUAUAUAAAGUAGUUCGCCGCUAUAUUGGAUACGAUAGAAGGGAAUAAGACAAAGUCAUCAUGACCUUAAUAUUGUGGGCUAUAGACGUGCCACAUAAGAGG